CGAUGGGCGCAGCUGACGGUGCACGCCGCGUGAGGGAUGAAGGCCUCUGGGCUGUAAACCUCCUUUCUCAAGGAAGAAGAUCUGACGGUACUUGAGGAAUAAGCCACGGCUAAUUCCGUGCCAGCAGCCGCGGUAAUACGGGAGUGGCAAGCGUUAUCCGGAAUUAUUGGGCGUAAAGCGUCCGCAGGCGGCCUUGAAAGUCUGUCGUUAAAGCGUGGAGCUUAACUCCAUUUCGGCGGUGGAAACUACAAGGCUUGAGUGUGGUAGGGUCAGAGGGAAUUCCCGGUGUAGCGGUGAAAUGCGUAGAUAUCGGGAAGAACACCAGUGGCGAAGGCGCUCUGCUGGGCCAUAACUGACGCUCAUGGACGAAAGCCAGGGGAGCGAAAGGGAUUAGAUACCCCUGUAGUCCUGGCCGUAAACGAUGAACACUAGGUGUCGGGGGAAUCGACCCCCUCGGUGUCGUAGCUAACGCGUUAAGUGUUCCGCCUGGGGAGUACGCACGCAAGUGUGAAACUCAAAGGAAUUGACGGGCGGCCGCACAAGCGGUGGAGUAUGUGGUUACUUCGAUGGCACGCGAAGAACUUACAGGU
rnacentral:rRNA from 1 species